rnacentral:lncRNA from 1 species
ACCUACAUGAAUAUGGUUACUGUAUAAUUCAUCCUUUUGACCCCUGUGUUUAGGAUGACUCAGGGUUAAACUGUCAACCCAGAUCAGAUCAUCCGAAUCGUGCUCAACUCAAACAGUCUUGUGACUCCUCACAAGGACUACCCUGGCCAAGGUUUUGCUAAAUUGAAACACGACUGUGCACAGCUCCUAAACUGGAGUGGUCAAUCCUAUCUUGACACACGCACCGACAAGUCAAGUACUUGACUACACCCAGCAGCCUUCCAUCACUGAAUUAGAAAUUCAGAUAGUCCAGUGCCUAAGUACAGUGAGUUGCUUGCAAGUCACCAUGGCGGUCUCAGGUUGG